rnacentral:rRNA from 1 species
CAGUCGAGCGGACCGACGGGAGCUUGCUCUCUUAGGUCAGCGGCGGACGGGUGAGUAACACGUGGGUAACCUGCCUGUAAGACUGGGAUAACUCCGGGAAACCGGGGCUAAUACCGGAUGCUUGAUUGAACCGCAUGGUUCCAAUCAUAAAAGGUGGCUUUCAGCUACCACUUACAGAUGGACCCGCGGCGCAUUAGCUAGUUGGUGAGGUAACGGCUCACCAAGGCGACGAUGCGUAGCCGACCUGAGAGGGUGAUCGGCCACACUGGGACUGAGACACGGCCCAGACUCCUACGGGAGGCAGCAGUAGGGAAUCUUCCGCAAUGGACGAAAGUCUGACGGAGCAACGCCGCGUGAGUGAUGAAGGUUUUCGGAUCGUAAAACUCUGUUGUUAGGGAAGAACAAGUACCGUUCGAAUAGGGCGGUACCUUGACGGUACCUAACCAGAAAGCCACGGCUAACUACGUGCCAGCAGCCGCGGUAAUACGUAGGUGGCAAGCGUUGUCCGGAAUUAUUGGGCGUAAAGCGCGCGCAGGCGGUUUCUUAAGUCUGAUGUGAAAGCCCCCGGCUCAACCGGGGAGGGUCAUUGGAAACUGGGGAACUUGAGUGCAGAAGAGGAGAGUGGAAUUCCACGUGUAGCGGUGAAAUGCGUAGAGAUGUGGAGGAACACCAGUGGCGA